GGCCAAAUGGCCAUUGGUGCCCAACUGGCCCAUGGCAGGGGACGGGUGAAAAUCACCCACCGAUGCCAUCUGACGCCGUUUCAGCCAGGGACUUUUUCUUCCUCCUCACCCGCUCUUGGUCAAUAAUUCUCAUCUGGGAGUGCCAGCGGACCACGAGAAACCGCUCGGUGAAAUCAUCUGUCUUCUAAAUGAAAUUCUCACAGCGAGCCUUCAAUCUCAAACGGGCCCAUUGAUUUCCCCUUGGACUUUGGAUCCGGCACACGCCUCAGGGUUCUGGAGAAUCAGCAGAGCUUGGGUUUGUCUCUAGGGAAAUGCUGAACUUGGAUAAACAAAGGAAGCUCCGACAUCAGAAACAACCCCUUGCGGGUGUCACGUACUUGGGAUGAAGACCCACCUUCUCACAGAGAUGAGAUUUGGCACUCUGCUUACAGAAACCCCACGCCUUCGCGGACUAAGUAAAUAGGAGACCAAGUGU